GCUAAAAUAACUUAAAUUUAAAGUUUAAUAUUGAAGAUAUUAAUAUGGAUUAUUAAUCCUUUUGGCA
rnacentral:tRNA from 1 species